rnacentral:rRNA from 1 species
UACGUAGGGGGCAAGCGUUGUCCGGAUUUAUUGGGCGUAAAGGGCGUGUAGGCGGCUUGGUAGGUCCGCUGUGAAAACUCGAGGCUCAACCUCGAGAUGUCGGCGGAAACCACUUGGCUAGAGUCCGGAAGAGGAGAGUGGAAUUCCCGGUGUAGCGGUGAAAUGCGCAGAUAUCGGGAAGAACACCUAUGGCGAAGGCAGCUCUCUGGGACGGUACUGACGCUGAGACGCGAAAGCGUGGGGAGCGAACAGG